rnacentral:rRNA from 1 species
CCACGCCGUAAACUAUGAUUACUCGGAGUUUGAAAUUAAUUUAAGCUCCCAAGCGAAAGCGAUAAGUAAUCCACCUGGGGAGUACGUCGGCAACGAUGAAACUCAAAGGAAUUGACGGGGGCCCGCACAAGCGGAGGAACAUGUGGUUUAAUUCGAUGAUACGCGAGGAACCUUACCCGGGCUUAAAUCACAUACGAACGUUCCGGAAACGGGACGGCCGCAAGGCGUAUGUGAAGGUGCUGCAUGGUUGU